rnacentral:rRNA from 1 species
AGAGUUUGAUCCUGGCUCAGAACGAACGCUGGCGGCAUGCCUAACACAUGCAAGUCGGACGAGACCUUCGGGUCUAGUGGCGCACGGGUGCGUAACGCGUGGGAAUCUGCCCUUGGGUUCGGGAUAACAGUUGGAAACGACUGCUAAUACCGGAUGAUGACUUCGGUCCAAAGAUUUAUCGCCCAGGGAUGAGCCCGCGUAGGAUUAGCUUGUUGGUGAGGUAAAGGCUCACCAAGGCGACGAUCCUUAGCUGGUCUGAGAGGAUGAUCAGCCACACUGGGACUGAGACACGGCCCAGACUCCUACGGGAGGCAGCAGUGGGGAAUAUUGGACAAUGGGCGAAAGCCUGAUCCAGCAAUGCCGCGUGAGUGAUGAAGGCCUUAGGGUUGUAAAGCUCUUUUACCCGGGAUGAUAAUGACAGUACCGGGAGAAUAAGCCCCGGCUAACUCCGUGCCAGCAGCCGCGGUAAUACGGAGAGGGGCUAGCGUNGUNCGGAAUUACUGGGCGUAAAGCGUACGUAGGCGGCGCUGUAAGUUAGACGUGAAAGCCCGGAGCUGACUCCGGAAUUGCCUUAAGACUGCAUCGCUUGAGUCAUGGAGAGGUCAGUNGACUUACGAGUGUACGAUGGUGACAAUUCGUACGAUAUUCGGAACGAACACCGAGUUGGGCGAAAAGCCGACCUAGCCUGGACGUGUAUUGACGCUGAGGUACGAAAGCCUGGGGAGCAACUGGAUCGAUACCUGGUAGUC